rnacentral:rRNA from 1 species
UACGUAGGGGGCAAGCGUUGUCUGGAUUUAUUGGGCGUAAAGAGCGUGUAGGCGGCCUGAAAGGUCAGCUGUGAAAACUCGAGGCUCAACCUCGAGACGUCGGUUGAAACCAUCUGGCUAGAGUCCGGAAGAGGAGAGUGGAAUUCCCGGUGUAGCGGUGAAAUGCGCAGAUAUCGGGAAGAACACCCGUGGCGAAGGCGGCUCUCUAGGACGGUACUGACGCUGAGACGCGAAAGCGUGGGGAGCGAACAGG